rnacentral:rRNA from 1 species
GAUGAACGCUGGCGGCGUGCUUAACACAUGCAAGUCGAACGGAAAGGCCCAAGCUUGCUUGGGUACUCGAGUGGCGAACGGGUGAGUAACACGUGGGUGAUCUGCCCUGCACUUCGGGAUAAGCCUGGGUAACUGGGUCUAAUACCGGAUAGGACGAUGGUUUGGAUGCCAUUGUGGAAAGUUUUUUCGGUGUGGGAUGAGCUCGCGGCCUAUCAGCUUGUUGGUGGGGUAAUGGCCUACCAAGGCGUCGACGGGUAGCCGGCCUGAGAGGGUGUACGGCCACAUUGGGACUGAGAUACGGCCCAGACUCCUACGGGAGGCAGCAGUGGGGAAUAUUGCACAAUGGGCGCAAGCCUGAUGCAGCGACGCCGCGUGGGGGAUGACGGCCUUCGGGUUGUAAACUCCUUUCGCUAGGGACGAAGCGUUUUGUGACGGUACCUGGAGAAGAAGCACCGGCUAACUACGUG